UACAGAGGGUGCGAGCGUUAAUCGGAAUUACUGGGCGUAAAGGGUGCGUAGGCGGUUGUUUAAGUUAGAUGUGAAAUCCCCGGGCUUAACCUGGGAAUUGCAUUUGAUACUGGAUGACUAGAGUAGAGUAGAGGGAAGUGGAAUUUCCGGUGUAGCGGUGAAAUGCGUAGAUAUCGGAAAGAACAUCAGUGGCGAAGGCGGCUUCCUGGACUCAUACUGACGCUGAGGCACGAAAGCAUGGGGAGCAAACAGG
rnacentral:rRNA from 1 species